AAUAUUUGGUUGACUUUAUGUCGACUCAGCUCGAUGUGUUACUCAUUGCUGUAUAAACUUUUACUUCAGUCUGCUGAACUUUAAUAUUCUUAGCCUAUAAUUAUGACAUUAUAAGGUGCGGCGGUGACGCGAGGACCCGGCAUAGAUUCGAAGUGCGUGGCACAACAAAAGCUGCCUCGGUUUCUCCGGGUUUCUGUUGCAAGUGUGGAUUGAUUGCACGUUGCAAACAUUUACCCAUGUGGAUGCCACGUCGUGGUCGACCACAGCGGCAAAUCUCCAUAAGAUUCUUGUGCAUUUGUGGUGAAAUAAAGUGAGCAUCGCCCUUGCCAUCAUGCUCAUAAGGACAGACAUCUGAAAUCAUCAAUUAAAUUAAAUGUUUUACCCAUUUACCAUACUUUACCUUGAAGAGUUUGUUUCUCCUUCAGCUGUUUGUCAAUUUCGUCCUGAUGAUAAAACUUAUUCGUUUCAGCCUCGGCAACUUUUGUCCAUACAACAGGAUAAUUGCUACGGGAUUUGUGUUCCAUGCGCACCAUCUCCUUCCUUUAGAUUACAGUAUAAAAUCAUUGUUUACAUUUGACAAUUAGUUAAUUAAAUUAAUUUAUUUACACUUUUCCAAUUAGUUUAGCCGGAUCCAUUUUGAGGCUUCUAAUACUUGUUUAAGAAUUAUAUACUGAAACUUAUUGAAACGUGUAUUUAUUAUUGGUAAUUAAUUUUCCAUAGCAACCUUUUAGGUUACCCGGGUAGCACAUAAUCGACAGACAAGAAAGAAUAACAUAUUGAAAAAUAUAUCUCGAGACACAGGACUCGCAAUAAUCAGACAGGAUACGACCUAGAAAUACGCUGUUUCGGUUUAUAAAAAUUACCUUUCAACUGGUCUGUUGGCAGAACAUUGUUACUUUUCAGUAAGCCAGUCAGUUUGUAUUGAGCAAGCUUAACCUUGUGUCAAACGACUUCACGAUCGGCCUUAAAAUGACAGAGAUAAGGUGAAUUUUAUUUUUGCUUGCUAUAACUAAAUGACAAGCGUCCUUUAUCGAAAAUAAGCUAUAUCUCGGCCAUAUUCUUGCGGAUUCUCAAAGGACACAUAUUGCUAGGAUCGUAAGGACCAACUCUAUCGAUUGGCAUCAAAAAAAUAUGGGGUCAUCUAGGAAUGCAACACUUGUAAUUUUUUGGUUCAGGGCCGAAGAAAACAAGCGUGAAUCACAAAUUCCAGGAUAACUCGGGAACCUCAAGGACGAUCGGGAUCAAAUUUGGUAGGAUAAUAGUCCGUACUAAAACGCUUCGUUUGACACAGGACUUGCAAGGAUCCGACAGGAUACAGCCGAGAUAUACGCUAUUUUCUUUAUACCAAAAAGUCCUUGUAACUUGGCUGUUUGCAGGACAUUCGUCCUUUUUAUUAUGUCAAUCAGUAUUUGUUGCCAAGAGCUUUCCUUGUGCCAAAGGACAUCCCGAUCGUCCUUCAAAUGGCCGAGAUACGGUGAAUUUUCUGGCUUUUUGUAAUUUUUUCUAUGCCUACUAUGCCUACCCCUUAAAAAAAUUCAGAUGUAUUUUUUCCAAAAAUCCUUGAAAUCCAUAGAUGCCAAUCGAUAGUAUUAGUUGCUGUGAUGAUAAAAAAGUAUGUCCUAGCGAUAUCCUGCAGGACUUAGCUGAGUUAUGGCUAAAAAUUGGUUUUUUAAAGAAUACAAAUUGUAUAGUUAAAAAACAAGAACAAAUAAAUUGUAUUGUUGUUGGGUAUUUUCUUCUUUAUUAUUAUCAUAAUGUAUGUAUGUAAUAUCGGAAUUUCAAAUUUGUUGUAUUUGCAUUAAUUGUAUUUGUUGUUUGAAUCGAGUUUAUUAAAUAAAUUGUAGAAAAAUGCAACCUACAUUUUUCAAAUACUUGUAGCUAAAUUUUGCGUGUUUUUUUGUUGUUGUUGUUGUUUGUAUUCUGUAAUUUAUAUUUAAUGUUUAAUGUUUAUUACAUAUGUAUGUACGUACAUGGGUGUACGUUAUUAUAAUAUUGUUUUUCACAUGAACAAGCUUGAAAUUUACACUUUUAGUGCCUAACUAUUAAUUUUAGUACAUUUGCGUAUAAUUUGAUUUAUCCCUUUUUGUUUGUAAUGGUAGCUUAGUUAAGACUAUAUAAAGUUAGAAAAAAUGUUCACGUUUUCGAUUUAGAUUUCGACGUAGAUAUUUUAGUAGAGAUAAAGAUAUAGAUAGGCAUAGGGCAUAGGAUAAUAUAUACAUACAUAUAUGCGAAGAAUUUAAGGGGCGAAUAUGCGAGAACUGAAUUCUUGAAUUUGCGGCACAUUUGAUGAUAUCCAUAAUGAUAUUGUGAUUAAAUGUUUAUUUAUAAUUUAUGUAUAAAUAAUGCCUAUAUUGUUUUUUGCAUAGUACUCUCGUAAGUUAAGUUCAUUUCGUUUUAGUUUCGAUAAAACCCGAUAAAUUGUUGUUUUGGAAUUUCAUAAAUUUGAUUUGUAUUUACAAAUUAGUUGCAUGAAUCAAUUAUGAAUGGAAAGCUUGGUGCAGUUCGAUUUGAUUAGAGAUUAAAAAGGUGCCAAGAUAUUGAAAUAAUUAUAAUAAUUACAAAUGUAUAUAUCUAUAUGUAUAACUAUGUAUAAGGAUCGAGGGAUCGUUAAAUAUUCUUGUUUUUUUUUUUGUUUUGUUUUCUUUUGUAGUUAGGCUUCAUCUUAAAUAUAUACAAGUCGCUGUCGAUUAUUGAUUAUGAUUAUUGCUAAAUGCAAUGCAAGGACCGAUUACAGGACACGGAUGCGGCACAGACUGA